rfam:Triticum aestivum genome assembly, contig: Triticum_aestivum_CS42_TGACv1_scaffold_500988_6BL
AUACUACUCCCUCCGUUCGGAAUUACUUAUCGCGAAAAUAGAUGUAUCUAGAUAUAUUUUAGUUCUAGAUACAUCCAUUUCCGAGACAAUUAAUUACGAACGGAGGGUGUAUUAU